UGAAACUAAGCGCAUGUUUGUGAGGAGAAGUGAGCAGGCGAAUAAAGGAUCUUUUUGAUAUUAUAUCUGCGUUUCAGUGAUGUAUUGUGGAUUCUGUGAUAGUGAACUGCAUGCUGACCCUCCGGAGGUCCUGGGGCUGUCGGCAGAUGUCAGGGUAUCAGGUGGUGGCUUCAGUGACAGGCUGCAGAGAUGCCCCUGUCUGGAACUCCUGCUCCUCCAAACAAGAGGAAAAAGCCCUCUAAGAUCAUCACUGACCUUUCCCACGUCACACAACACGAUAUUUGGCAUGCCACACAGCGGCUCGGCUCCGGUACAUCAGCUCACAGACGCCCUGUGCUGCAGACAUCACCCUAGGAGUGAUGUGGGGAGAGAGCGCCAUCUACCCACCCGGAGGGAGCAGGGCCAAUUUUGCUCCCUCUGACGACGGCAGCUUGAUGGCAAAGCUGCAUGAGCUGGGGUUCAAACCUACGACCUCCUGGACCACUCGGCACCGUGAAAGGGACUUUCACAAAAAAUCUAGAAAAGGCGACCAGUAUUUGACCUCCCUGCCCUUCAUCAACACCCCUGGACACAUCGCAAAAAAAAAAAAAAAUUAAACCUACACUUCGCAACCUACACUUUUCUCUUUUCUGGCUUUAAGAUUGCUGAGGAUUAAUAUUUUGCUGGCUGCAGGAAUCAUUAACCUGGGCGAAAUACCAAAAAUGGCCAGUAGUGGACAGCAGCUCAGCUUUUGUUAAAGACUGAUGCGAUGAAAAGUUUAGUUGAGGUAAACUUGAAUCAAAUGAAUCUGUCCACUGCGAUGCGUCUAUCCAAUCACAGAGCAGGUGGUUGCCUGAUACGUGUCCUCAGCGCAGAGGAUGAAAACAUUUUAUUUCUGCUUUCGGUCAUUUUUUCAGAAGCAUGGAAGAAAAGUUUAGUAUAGUAUAGCUUAA
rnacentral:lncRNA from 1 species